rnacentral:rRNA from 1 species
GACGAACGCUGGCGGCGUGCCUAAUACAUGCAAGUAGAAUGCUGAAGGAGGAGCUUGCUUCUCUGGAUGAGUUGCGAACGGGUGAGUAACGCGUAGGUAACCUGCCUGGUAGCGGGGGAUAACUAUUGGAAACGAUAGCUAAUACCGCAUAAUAGCAGUUGUUGCAUGACAACUGUUUGAAAGGUGCAAUUGCACCACUACCAGAUGGACCUGCGUUGUAUUAGCUAGUUGGUGGGGUAACGGCUCACCAAGGCGACGAUACAUAGCCGACCUGAGAGGGUGAUCGGCCACACUGGGACUGAGACACGGCCCAGACUCCUACGGGAGGCAGCAGUAGGGAAUCUUCGGCAAUGGACGGAAGUCUGACCGAGCAACGCCGCGUGAGUGAAGAAGGGUUUCGGAUCGGAAAGCUCUGUUGUAAGAGAAGAACGAGUGUGAGAGUGGAAAGUUCACACUGUGACGGUAUCUUACCAGAAAGGGACGGCUAACUACGUG